GCUAAAUUCAUUACUGUUCAUUUUAACUUUCUCUGUUUUAGUUCGAGUUUGUCUUUGAUGUUGCUGUAAGUUUUUCUUCUGCUUUAGUUCUUUACUUCUACUGAUUCUUGCUUCAGUCAUGUGUUCAAUGUUCUGAGUGUGCUUUGGUUUUGAUUGCUUUCAUCAUUGCUUCUGUUGUCUGCUCUUUUUGUUGAGUUCAGUUUGAAUUUUUUUUUCCUGUUGCUUGAUUUCUCAAUUUGAGUUCCAUAUUUCCCUGUUAUCUGUUUUACUUUGUUUUGUUCUGAUGUGAUUUUGUAUGUUCUUUCCUUUUUUAAAAGCACUAUGUUACCGCUAACGGAAUUUGGUUUAAUAUCUGGUACUUCGUAUGUUGUUUUGGACAUUUUCUUGCUAGAUUUUCACAUGCAUGUCAGUACUAUGUCAGGGUUUUCCUGCACUGAAGGUGUUUGAUAGUAUGCCUAGCUAAAUCAACUUAUUUUUAUUUUUCUCAAUCAAUGUCACAAUUUUGCAUAAUUUAACAGUUAGAACUGAUGCAAUAUGACCCUAUCAAUUUUUUAAGAAAUAAAUAUGAUUGACAAUUCUAAUUAUAGAGUUGUCAAAGAUGACAUUGAUCCAUCACUGAGACAGUGUCUAAACUCAUGUGUUGAGUUAUAUCUGCAGGGUUUAUGACAAUUUAAUAACCCAUGCCUGUUUGCAAGAAAAUUAAGCACUUCAUUUUGUUUUUAUGUGGUAUGGGUCAGUUAGUACAUUGAUUUUCGUUUGUUAGGCCUGACAUUUUCAGGUAAUUCAUAAUUUUUUGUUCAUUUAAAUGCUAAUGAAUGGUUGUUGGAUUCUUAGGUGUUUGGGUCGAUGAACUCGGGGUUAUUUUUUUUUUUCAGAUAUCAAUAAUUAAACUGCAACUUUCUCUUGCAUUAUUUUUAGAGUUCCUCCAUAUUUGGUUCAACGUUGAUUUAUUUAUUGCUAAAUUUCUACAUGCAUGUAUGGAAUUCUAUAUGAUUUUGAAUGUAAGUUUGACAGGAAAGACUUGGUGUGUGUUCUUUUUUCCUUUCUUCAGAUUAUGGUUGUGGAAAUUGUGUUUUAGCAUGAAUUUUUUGUGCUUUUGGAGUGGGUAGAACUAAAUUUGCACUUUGUCAACUGCAAGGUCAGCAUACUGAAUCUAUAUAUUUUUGCUGGUGCAGUUGAUUUUAGAGACCUCCAGGUAAGCAACAAUAGUAAAUGGGGUUCUGAUAAAAACCACUCAAAAUUUUGAAAUAAAUGGUAAGUAAGUUUGGGGAAAAUCUCAUGCAUAUUUUGUUUAAAUUUUAUGCACAGUCAAUGUAAAGAUUUUUUUGCUACUAUCAUGUUAUCCAAAGAAUACCUUAAAAAUAAAGCAGCAGUUAACUUAUUAUAACAGGUAAAGGUAAAGAUGACCUGAUGUUAUAAAUUUUUUUACACUUCACAUAUAUAUAACUUAAACUUAUUGUAUAUUUGUAUGCUUUGAGUGAUUGCUGUAAUUAUGGGCAUCAGAUGCAGGGACAAUAUAUUUCUCAUUUAGACUCAUUAAAAUCUUUAAUAUAAUAAUAGAUGUAUACUACAUGAUAUUGAGAAAUUUGUAUGUGUAUAGGCUUGCUGAACUAUUUCAUUAUUUUGUCGGAGAAUUUAUCUCCGAGACUUUAUAGUGGUGUUCCCGCAACCUAUUAGUACUUUUGUUCUAAUAGGAUGAUUUCUGGUGUGAAUGAGUGUGAUUUUGGCGAUUUUGCCUUUGGUAGUCCGCAAAAUGUUUCACACACAUGCAAUGAUGCCAUAUCUGAAGCAAAUAACAUUGUUUGUGAAUAUUUAAAUAAUUAUGACGUGAUUUUUAAUGUGUGUUAUCUAUAGUGGAACAAUAGCGAUUUAGGGAAAUGGUAAUUUUUUCCGUUUGUUCAACUUCUUAAAUUUGUGUUUCUGCUAGAAGUGAAUGGUAUUUUCCCCUGAGCAAUAUACUAACAUGAAUCUAGGUGUUGCUGUGUAUUUGAGCUAAGAAAGGCACUUAUUUUAACCUUCCAAAGGUUCAGAAAGCCGCCACUCAUGCAUAUAGCCAACUGCCUUAUAACCAUCUGGAUGUUCAGAAAGCCACCACUCAUGCAUAUAGCCAACUUGCUUGUAGCUAGAUGAUGUGCAGCAUUGUUUUGAAUUACUGUGAUGCAGAUAGGAAGAUUCAUAUUCUUACAUUACUAGAACGACUCCAGAACCACAUUCUUAUUUCAAUUUUCAGCUUAAUUAAACCAGUACCAAAGUCAGGAUGCUUCAAGGAAGAAAACAAGGAAAUAGACAGGUCAUUCUAUGAGCCUUGUGUUUCUUAAAAUCGGAAAAGGUCAGAGUGCUGAGACAGGGUGGAAGAUUAUCUACCUAAGCUCGAAGAAAGAUGAUAUCUUAUACUGGAGCUUCAAAAUUUUCCCUUGAAAUUUAGAAUUGAUGCAACACUCAUGCUGGCGGUUGCAAAUAAUGAAUCGAGCAUUUGCCCAUCCUUUGGACGGGCACGGGCCAUCUAGAUGUUGAAGAUUACAAGGCCACUGGUUAUUCUACCGUGCCAAUGUUUGUGCAACAUACAGAAGCAAUGAUGGAGGAAAUUGCGAGGAUGGAUGAGGAGAUAGAGAAGGAAGAUGUUGAGCAUUGGUCAAUUGUUGAUUUGUUGACACAGACCAUUCUUAUAAAAAGAACUCACUUGCAGAGGUGGAAUACAUUGACAAUAUCUAUGCUUACUGCAAGAAGGCUAAGGUUGUCAACUGCCGGAGUUAAGGUAGAUUUGCUAGAUGCAAGGAAGUAGCAGCAAAGGUUAGAUUAUUAGAUUAUUUUCUACUUCCAGUUCAUCAAAGCAUCUGAACUAUAACUAAAACGCACACAGAGAGCUUACUGGUAGCUGACUUGUUUGCAUACUAGAUAUUUUUCAUUUAUAGUGCUACAAGUCCAUGCCAUUUAUGAUUCUGUAGGCGGAUACUGUUUGAUGUAGUUUUAAUAAACCGGAUCAGUAGAGCAGAAAAUAUGGUGGUUCGAGUUUGGGAAUAUCUUUUUAGUUGAGUUUGAGAUUUUCUGAUUGCCUAAUUUUAGAUAUACGAUCAGUAUAGAUUUUGGCAUGAAGGUAUACUUGAAUGUUUGUAAGGAUGGAAUAUAAAAUUUGAUAUCUAGCAUGUAUUUAAAGAAAUCACUUUAAAGAAUAAAAUUUAAAGUUUAUUAGAGCAAAUUAAGAAUAAUCUUAUUUUUGGGUUCACAAAAUGAAUGUAUUAGUUGUGACUUGUAACUUCGUAUGCUUGGUCCUCCUUUUUCAAGUAAUACCUUGAUGAAUCACGUGCUGCCAACAAUCGCUGCUACAGUCCAGUUACAUUUACAAUGUAGUACUAUAACUUUGUUCCACUAUUGAAUGUACAUAAUAUGAGGCAUACUACAUUAAUUUUAUUUAACUCCUACUAAACAAUUAAAACAAAUAGGGAAUUAUCUUCUCGAAAUCAGAUCUCUUUUACAUAAUAUGUAUGUUGCUUUACUGCUUCUAUUUCUUGAAAAUUUGCUGGGAACUUCCCUUAGUUUGAUAAUAUUGUGCUUACCUCUGUUUUGCGCUCAAUUAUCUCCUCUCCUUUACAUAAUUGCUACUCAAUUAACUUGGUUUUGGUUUCAUUCUUCACCUUUUAACCUUUUAAUUGGGACAACUCUUAUGGUUCGUUAAUAGAAUUCUCAUACUGCUGCAUGAUUUUGAACUUUUAUUUCAACUCUCUCAAAGAUUGAUGGUAUACCUUAAACAUUGCAUUACAAUUUGCAAAUUUAUCGGGAUACUGUACAAGUUUCUCUUCUCUUU